rnacentral:lncRNA from 1 species
CCUAAGAGGGAGGUGUGAAGGCGCCCGGUCCUGAGCGCCUCCAGAAGGGUCCUCGUCUGGGGUCGGGACUCCGGUUCUGCUCCUUGCUACCUCUUAUACACUUCGCCCCUCACUUUCCUAAAAGCACCCAGGCUUCUCUCUUGGCAGCGACAGCGGUGACAGCAGCGGCGGCAAAAGUGGAGGCUGAGGCCGUGACACCUCGUGGGCUCGAGUCCAUGCCCGGCCGGAUGAACAGAAAGGCCGGGAGUGGGGAUUCAGGGGGUGCCCCAAGAGCUCAGAGGCGACCGACGGCGGCGGUUCCAGGUCAACUGGUGCUGGAAGCUUUGCUUUUUCUUAGUUGGCCCAGUUUGGGGGUGGGGUGGGAAAAGGGGGGCAGGCGUGCGGGUGGGCGAUUCUUAGCUCUCUAAAAGCUGGGGACACCCUCGAUUAUCCGCGCUGCCCCGAAAAAGUCCUAGGCUCACAGUCUGAGGGAAGAGAUAAAGCCCUUUCUUCUCCCGGGGAAGUGCAGCGGAGCGCGAUGGGGACCCGCUCAGUGGACUCGGCAGAGGCGGGAGCUGUCCUUAUCAAUUCUAGCUCAUUUCCCUCACCCCGGCCCUGCCCGCUUCCCCGCUUCGCAAACUGUUGGCUUUCCUCGCCGCCACCCCGAUUUGCUAAUUUUCCAGAGACGCCUUUAAACCUGGCCAGAGACUCCUUCCACCCAUACUACUCACCCCACCUCGGGCCCCCUUCUCCCUGCACCUUUGCUAUAUCAGAGCACGGAAGUUCAGUCAUCUAGUUCCCCUUCCAGUGCGGGGCGGCCCCGAGGAUGACUGGGGGCAAGUUGGGGUGCUAGGCUGGAUUUAGAGCAGGAGACUAGAGGCCAGGAGGGACUGGUAUGGAUUGGUCUCCCUCCCUCUCGAGCACCCGGAGCAGUCGCUUUAACAGGAGGAACUAUGAGAAGUUCAAGUUAGAAGGGCGGAACAGGAAGGGACCCUCUUGCCCGCGUCCCGCCCGCGCGCCCGCCGGGACCACCGCCGCCGUCGCCCGGCUCCGAGGGACCCGCCGGACCUGCCCCUUCCGCUGCGGCUCACUCUGCCUUGCCCGGCGCCGCUUCUGGAUCGCCGGCUUCAUUCCUAUCAGACUGGGCUCCUCUCCACUCACUUUCCCAUCCUGUUCCAGGCUGGCGACUUCGCUGCUGAGCUGAAACUGCUAAUUUCUGUGACCAGCUUUUUUCUUAGCUGUGAUCUGGAUGAAUGAGUAGCUGUCUCACAGAGAUGACAAAAAUAAACUCUAAUCCCCCCCAAAAUUUCCACUA